UUUAGCUCAGCAAUAUUACGAUCCGAUUUAAGGCUUUUGCCGAAUUUUGCGGUAAAGUAUAUUAUAUUAACUGCGAGAUCAAUUGUGAGUGUACAGUCUGUGGUGCAAAACACGAGGUGUUUUGGAGGGGGGUUUUGCAUAUAAGUAUUUUAAAACCGGAUUGAAAAUAUAUUCUUACAGGUUCAACAAGGGUUCAACUUCUCAAAAUGCAGAUCUACGUGUUUGCUCUUCUGAUUAUGACUGCGAUCGCUUUCGCAUACCCUACUAAAGAUGAUAUGCCUCUGUCGUUGAUGCUAAAUGAAGACGAAACCUUGAAAUUAAUACCCGUCAAAGAUUUCGAAGAAUACGAUCGCCAACGUAAGUUCACCUGCGAAAUUAAUUGCGCAGUUUACUGUUUGUUCGGAGGAUACAAAGGAGGAUACUGUCAUCACAAUCAAUGUCUUUGCAUGAUACAGUAAGAGAUAUAACGAUAACAAACAAAUGUAGAAGCUCAAGGGUCUUUGCACUAAGUUCCGGUUAAUUUUGAUAAAUUCCGUUUCUUUAAGAAAAGGGGAUUGGAAUUUUACCGAUGGAUAUAAUGUAAAAUUUACGCUUUUUUACAAUUUCGACAUUGCACUAUAAAUUCGUUUAUAAUAAAUAUUCUUCAAACAUUUAAAAUUAAUGUAAUUUCUUGUACAUAUUCUUGAUUAUUCUAUAUUCCUUUAGACGCACAUGUUUAUAAUUUAUACAAAGAAUCCGAUGUGUAACUCGGUUAGCGAUUACAUAUCCCAAAUUUAAAUGCAUUAAAAUUUUCUUUCUAGACAUAUUAAGAUUAUCAUGUAAAUAAUAAAACUUUGCUUUUUAUACAAUUUGCGAAAUAGAAAAAUAAAUAAUGUACUGAUGUAAUUCGAGAUAUUACCAUAAAUUAACUACAACGCAUUUGUAAAAUUUUUCAAGCUAUUGUAGCUAUUACAAUCGAUAGCUGCAACGGUAAACUAGUUGGCACGGUAACAAUUAUGCCACGAUGUUUUCGAAAUUACAAAACUGCAAGAUUGCAAAAAUUCAUGCACCUUGGGCCAUAUGUGCAUUAGACUUAGCAAUAUACGAUCCGAUUAAAGGUCUAGAACUCUUAUAAAAAUUUGCAAUAAAGGAUAUUAUAAUUGCAAGAUCAAACGCGAUAACAACAUAUUUUGAUUUUAUGAUGAAAUUUUCUUUCAUUAUGUUUAGAAACGGCAAGUAUUUUCCAAUGAUAGCCGUUAUAUUUUCACAAUUGUUCCUUCAAGAAAACUGGAUUAAAAAUUUGACCGAUAGAUCUAUUGCGUACAAUUCGCACUUUUUAUUAUAAUUUCAACAUUGUACUACUCGUUUAUAAUAAAUAUUCUUCAAGCA